GCCUGGUGUAAUAAAAACAGUCCAGAGGAAUAUUUGUCGAGGAGCGAUGCCACCAGACAGCCUUCUUCCUCAACAGUCUACGGCCAGGAAAUGGCAUCGCUUCCACCACUACCAGGAGGACUGAAGUCUCCAAAAAGUGCAUGCGAUGCUGCUGAAAGCCAUUCAUGCUGCAGUUUGGAGAAGCACCUCAGCAACAACCAGCGUCAGCAUCCGUUUCUCCUUUUAAAGGCACAUUUUGUGUUCAAUUUGUCAUAUGAUAAUGCACUUGUGAACUUUUAUACA